rnacentral:rRNA from 1 species
GAUGAACGCUGGCGGCGUGCCCAAUACAUGCAAGUCGAGCGAACAGACGAGGAGCUUGCUCCUCUGACGUUAGCGGCGGACGGGUGAGUAACACGUGGAUAACCUACCUAUAAGACUGGGAUAACUUCGGGAAACCGGAGCUAAUACCGGAUAAUAUAUUGAACCGCAUGGUUCAAUAGUGAAAGACGGUUUUGCUGUCACUUAUGGAUGGAUCCGCGCCGCAUUAGCUAGUUGGUAAGGUAACGGCUUACCAAGGCAACGAUGCGUAGCCGACCUGAGAGGGUGAUCGGCCACACUGGAACUGAGACACGGUCCAGACUCCUACGGGAGGCAGCAGUAGGGAAUCUUCCGCAAUGGGCGAAAGCCUGACGGAGCAACGCCGCGUGAGUGAUGAAGGUCUUCGGAUCGUAAAACUCUGUUAUUAGGGAAGAACAAAUGUGUAAGUAACUAUGCACGUCUUGACGGUACCUAAUCAGAAAGCCACGGCUAACUACGUG